GUUGCUGUGGCUCAUAUCAGCUUCCAGAAACACCCGGCCCUGAGAGGCCCAGCACUGCCCCCCUCCCUGGCACGCUGGCCUCUCUACCAGGUAGGGGGGUCCUGCUCGCUCUGUCCACCGCGUCCUGCAGGCCACACACAUUUUGGCCAUGGCCGAUAGGUAAGAGGACUGGCUGGUGGGCCCCUCCAGGACUUUCCUUGCCAGGCACCUGGGUGGAAGUAGGAAGGGCUGAAGGACUCUCUAGGGUGUGAGCUGACCCCUGGAGGUCACCAUCCACCUGACCUAUCCCCAGCCUCCAAACUAUGCUCAGCAUAUGAAUGAGAGGGGGUGGGGGCUCUGGACCUGGGUGAGCCUGGGGGAGGAGGAGAGAGGAAAGAGCAGCAAGAAGAAAGCCUGGGAGGGUCAGUGUAUGGAGGAGGGGAGAAGGGGAUAAAAAAGAGGAAACUUGGCAGAAGAGGGUCUGAUAGAUAUGGCUCCAGAGUCAGACUGUUUAGGACUUCCCUGGUGGCCCAGGGAUUAAGACUCCGCACUUCCAAUGUAGGGGGUGUGGAUUCAGUCCCUGGUCAGGGAACCAAGAUUGCACAUGCUGUGCAAAGUGGCCAAAAAAAAAAAAAAAAUUCAGAGUCAGACUGUCCAGCACCACUAACUUGCUAUAUGAGCUUAAGCAGGUAACUUUUUUUUGUUGGAGCUUCAAUUUCCGUCAUAAAACUAGCAUAAUCUUAUUCCACUGGAUUGUUAUGCAGAGGCAAGGAAAUAAGAUUCAAGGAUCUACCACCACAGUCAAGAUAUUCAACAGUUCCAACAACACAAAGGUGCUCCCUUUCAUAAUCAUACCCUCCUCCCUUCCAUCCUUAACCCCUGGCAACCUCCUGUGUCACCCAUUUCUAAAACUGUCAAUUCAGAAAUGUUAUGUAGGUGUCUUGCUGGGAGAUGGUGUACAAUCAAAUGAAGAUGUCUACAAAAUGAAAAACCUUUUAAGUACUGAUAAAUAUCACAUUAAAUGACAAAAAAAAAAAGAAAUGUUAUGUAAAUUAAAUCAUACAAUGGG
ensembl:lncRNA